rnacentral:rRNA from 1 species
CGGCAUGCCUAACACAUGCAUGUCGAACGAAGCCUUCGGGCUUAGUGGCGGACGGGUGAGUAACGCGUGGGAACCUGCCCUUGAGUGGGGAACAACCUUUGGAAACGAAGGCUAAUACCGCAUACGCUCUGAGGAGGAAAGGCUUCGGCCGCUCUUGGAUGGUCCCGCGUUAGAUUAGCUUGUUGGUGGGGUAACGGCCUACCAAGGCGACGAUCUAUAGCUGGUCUGAGAGGAUGAUCAGCCACACUGGGACUGAGACACGGCCCAGACUCC